rnacentral:rRNA from 1 species
UCGACGGUAACAGGAAGAAGCUUGCUUCUUUGCUGACGAGUGGCGGACGGGUGAGUAAUGCUUGGGUAUCUGGCUUAUGGAGGGGGAUAACUACGGGAAACUGUAGCUAAUACCGCGUAGUAUCGGAAGAUGAAAGUGUGGGACCGUAAGGCCACAUGCCAUAGGAUGAGCCCAAGUGGGAUUAGGUAGUUGGUGAGGUAAUGGCUCACCAAGCCGACGAUCUCUAGCUGGUCUGAGAGGAUGACCAGCCACACCGGGACUGAGACACGGCCCGGACUCCUACGGGAGGCAGCAGUGGGGAAUAUUGCGCAAUGGGGGCAACCCUGACGCAGCCAUGCCGCGUGAAUGAAGAAGGCCUUCGGGUUGUAAAGUUCUUUCGGUAGCGAGGAAGGCAUUUAGUUUAAUAGACUAGAUGAUUGACGUUAACUACAGAAGAAGCACCGGCUAACUCCGUGCCAGCAGCCGCGGUAAUACGGAGGGUGCGAGCGUUAAUCGGAAUAUCUGGGCGUAAAGGGCACGCAGGCGGACUUUUAAGUGAGGUGUGAAAGCCCCGGGCUUAACCUGGGAAUUGCAUUUCAGACUGGGAGUCUAGAGUACUUUAGGGAGGGGUAGAAUUCCACGUGUAGCGGUGAAAUGCGUAGAGAUGUGGAGGAAUACCGAAGGCGAAGGCAGCCCCUUGGGAAUGUACUGGCGCUCAUGUGCGAAAGCGUGGGGA